rnacentral:rRNA from 1 species
UGCGUAGGCGGCCCGGGAAGUUGGGUGUGAAAUCCCUCAGCUUAACUGAGGAACUGCGCUCAAAAACUGCCGGGCUUGAGGGAGACAGAGGUGAGCGGAACUUAGGGUGGAGCGGUGAAAUGCGUUGAUAUCCUAAGGAACACCGGGGGCGAAAGCGGCUCACUGGGUCUUUUCUGACGCUGAGGCACGAAAGCUAGGGGAGCGAACGGGAUUAGAUACCCCGGUAGUCCUAGCCCUAAACGAUGAGCACUGGAUCGGAGAACACCCCAUAGUUUUCUGGUCGUAGCAAAAGCGUUAAGUGCUCCGCCUGGGGAGUAUGGUCGCAAGGCUGAA